CUAACAAAGCAAAUCCCUCAAGCAAGAAAGGAGUUCUCAGGGCAGUGCCCAGAUCUGGGGAGUAGGCUGCCUUUGCCAAAGCCCUGGUGGGUGCAGACCUAGCGCCUUUAAAGGACCCGUGCAGGGGAUCCAGGAGGAUUCAGUACCUGUCAGUGUUUCUCCUCUGCAGUGUGUCUCUCUCCUGGAGUUAGCCACAGAGCCUCCCAAGUCCAGAGCAGAGACCUGACCCUGCAGACUCAAAUGCUUAUAUCUGCUGAGAUUUGCAGGUCUUAUCCCCACACUGGGAAGGAAACCUAGGUGUAACCCCCACGUCCCCCAGGCCUCCCUGGACCAGCUCUGGCCCUCCGUGAGAUGCCCCGGGCUCGGGCGUGCUCUGCAGGUCUUUCCCCUUACCACCUCAAAGUCCCCCUAAUUUCUGCUUAAAUUGCUGCUCCAAAGGCUUCAGCUCCCAGCCAAAUGAGCCAACAAGGGAGUGAGGGAGCCAGUAGCUGGAGGCACUGGGCAGCCCUGAAAGCAGAAAAAUAAAGCCUUUCUUUUGCUCCCACUUUCCCAAUAAUUAAAGAAUAUUGAUCCACCUCCUUUCUUUUGCAGGUUCUUCAGUUUGGUAAAGGGUGAUGUGUGGUGAAGCCCCUGGCCCUAAACAGGGAAAAGAAUAAGUUCCCUGUCCCUUGUUUCGCAUGUGAAGGCGAGAAAACCACCGAAGUCUGAAUUAGCCUUGUGGGCUUCCACCGAAGUCUGAAUCAGCCUUGUGGGCUUCCUGUCUAUCUGCCCUCAUAGAGCACUUGGGACAGAUGGUACCUACUGAUUAGCUGGCACAGCUGAGCCUUGCAUGAGCACCCUGCAAAACCAGACCUAGUUUGCUUAAAGCUGCCUGAAACCGCUUCCUGCAGUAAAGAAUGUGUGUAUGUGUGUGUAUGCUUAACCCAGAGUAUGGGAGGAUAUAUAAAAGGGGGGGUAAAAAUAAAAUCUCUCUCUCCUGGAUGAAGAA